GACAGAGGUGCCAAGCGUUAGGCGGAAUCCCUGGGCUUAAAGCGUGUGUAGGCGGAUCGUUAAGUACCUUGUGAAAUCCCACGGCUCAACUGUGGAACUGCUGGGUAUACUGGCGGUCUUGAGCCACCUAGGGGCAACUGGAACAAGCGGUGGAGCGGUGAAAUGCGUAGAUAUCGCUUGGAACGCCAACGGUGAAAACAGGUUGCUGGGGGUGUGCUGACGCUGAGACACGAAAGCCAGGGGAGCGAACGGG
rnacentral:rRNA from 1 species